rnacentral:rRNA from 1 species
UACGAAGGGGGCUAGCGUUGUUCGGAAUCACUGGGCGUAAAGGGCGCGUAGGCGGCUAGAUGUGUCAAAGGUGAAAUCCCUCGGCUCAACUGAGGAACUGCCUUUGAAACUGUCUGGCUUGAGGCCGGGAGAGGGUAGCGGAAUUCCCAGUGUAGCGGUGAAAUGCGUAGAUAUUGGGAGGAACACCAGUGGCGAAGGCGGCUACCUGGACCGGUUCUGACGCUGAGGCGCGAAAGCGUGGGUAGCAAACAGG